rnacentral:rRNA from 1 species
AUGGCGAGGCGAGGGCUGGCGGCUGGCGCCGGCGCCGUCUCCAGGGUUCGAUUCGCGCCGUCCUCCAACAACCUCAUAGUCUCCUCCUGGGACUCGGGGCUGCGGCUGUACGAUGCGGACAAAUCCAUUCUCCGGCUGGAGGCGAAUUCCGAGGCAGCACUUCUGGACUGCUGCUUCAAGGAUGAGUCUGUGGCGUUCGCAGGCGGUUCAGAUGGAUCUGUAAUAAGGUAUGACUUGGAUUCAGGGGCUCAAGAUACAGUGGGUCUGCAUGACGAUGUGGUUGUCAGCACUGAGUUCUCCCAGAUUACUGGUCAAUUGGUAACUUCUAGCCUUGACAAGAAGUUACUUUUCUGGGAUACACACACAAGAAGUGUAAACGCUAACCACACUUUCAUGUUAGAUUCAGUGGUGGUAUCACUUUCAGUCUGUGGCAUGUAUAUAUUAGUCACAGUUGAGAACGAUGUUUACUGGUAUGACAUGAGGAAUUUAACAGCGCCGAUUAAGGCAAGAGAUUCCCCCCUGAAGCAUCAUAUACGGUGUCUUUGUGCUUCUGCAGAGUGGAACGGUUACGCGGCUGGAUCUAUGGAUGGAACUGUUGCGUUGAAGUAUUUUGACCAUAAAGUAGACAAUGACAUGGGAUAUACAUUUCGAUGUCACCCAAGAUCAAAAGAUGGAACAUCCAGUUUAGUUCCCAUAAAUAGUAUAGCAGUUCAUCCAUCCAAGCAAACUUUUGUUACUGGAGAUAAUGAAGGAUAUGCCAUUGCUUGGGAUGCUUUAUCAAAAAAGAAGCUGCUUGAGUUUCCUAGCUUUUCGGGCAGUGUGGUGUCAAUGGCGUAUAACCAUAGUGGCCAACUUUUGGCAGUUGCUUCAAACUUUACUCAUCAAGGAGCAGACAGAGUGCUGGAGGUGGAGGGGCACCAUAUAUUUAUCGAAACGAUGCGGGAUUCCAAAAGGAAGAAGUCUCCCUGA